GCGGAUCUGGUUAGUCCAACUUGUCGG
rnacentral:sRNA from 1 species